rnacentral:rRNA from 1 species
CCUACGGGAGGCAGCAGUGGGGAAUAUUGCACAAUGGGCGAAAGCCUGAUGCAGCAACGCCGCGUGAGCGAUGAAGGCCUUCGGGUCGUAAAGCUCUGUCCUCAGGGAAGAUAAUGACGGUACUUCAGGAGGAAGCCCCGGCUACCUACGGGCCAGCAGCCGCGGAAAUACGUAGGGGGCUAGCGUUAUCCGGAAUUACUGGGCGAAAAGGGUGCGUAGGUGGUUUCUUAAGUCAGAGGUGAAAGGCUACGGCUCAACCGUAGUAAGCCUUUGAAACUGGGAAACUUGAGUGCAGGAGAGGAGAGUGGAAUUCCUAGUGUAGCGGUGAAAUGCGUAGAUAUUAGGAGGAACACCAGUUGCGAAGGCGGUUCUCUGGACUGUAACUGACACUGAGGCACGAAAGCGUGGGGAGCAAACAGGAUUAGAUACCCGGGUAGUC